ACGGAAGGCCCCUUCGGGGGUACUCGAGUGGCGAACGGGUGAGUAACACGUGGGUGAUCUGCCCUGCACUUUGGGAUAAGCCUGGGAAACUGGGUCUAAUACCGAAUAGGACUCCGGACUGCAUGGUCUGGGGUGGAAAGCUUUUGCGGUGUGGGAUGGGCCCGCGGCCUAUCAACUUGUUGGUGGGGUGAUGGCCUACCAAGGCGACGACGGGUAGCCGGCCUGAGAGGGUGUCCGGCCACACUGGGACUGAGAUACGGCCCAGACUCCUACGGGAGGCAGCAGUGGGGAAUAUUGCACAAUGGGCGCAAGCCUGAUGCAGCGACGCCGCGUGAGGGAUGACGGCCUUCGGGUUGUAAACCUCUUUCGCCAGGGACGAAGCGCAAGUGACGGUACCUGGAGAAGAAGCACCGGCCAACUACGUGCCAGCAGCCGCGGUAAUACGUAGGGUGCGAGCGUUGUCCGGAAUUACUGGGCGUAAAGAGCUCGUAGGUGGUUUGUCGCGUUGUUCGUGAAAACUCACAGCUUAACUGUGGGCGUGCGGGCGAUACGGGCAGACUGGAGUACUGCAGGGGAGACUGGAAUUCCUGGUGUAGCGGUGGAAUGCGCAGAUAUCAGGAGGAACACCGGUGGCGAAGGCGGGUCUCUGGGCAGUAACUGACGCUGAGGAGCGAAAGCGUGGGGAGCGAACAGGAUUAGAUACCCUGGUAGUCCACGCCGUAAACGGUGGGUACUACGUGUGGGUUU
rnacentral:rRNA from 1 species